rnacentral:tRNA from 1 species
GACAAGGUGGCCGAGUGGUUAAGGUGUUACGUUUGGGUUGCGUUUACCAACUUGAAACCGUAAUGGGAAACCGCGCGAGUUCGAAUCUAGUCCUUGUCA